rnacentral:rRNA from 1 species
UACGUAGGGUGCAAGCGUUAAUCGGAAUUGCUGGGCGUAAAGCGUGCGCAGGCGGUUCGGAAAGAAAGAUGUGAAGUCCCAGAGCUUAACUUUGGAACUGCAUUUUUAACUACCGGGCUAGAGUGUGUCAGAGGGAGGUGGAAUUCCGCGUGUAGCAGUGAAAUGCGUAGAUAUGCGGAGGAACACCGAUGGCGAAGGCAGCCUCCUGGGAUAACACUGACGCUCAUGCACGAAAGCGUGGGGGGGGCAAACAGGAUUAGAUACCCUGGUAGUCCACGCCCUAAACGAUGUCAACUAGCUGUUGGGGCCUUCGGGCCUUGGUAGCGCAGCUAACGCGUGAAGUUGACCGCCUGGGGAGUACGGUCGCAAGAUUAAAACUCA